CAUUAUAAAAUCACUUCAAAAGGCCGCAACCCAUCGCCAUUAGCUGUCUAACAUUUGACUGAUUUCCUUCGAGGGCAUCGAGUGGAUCCAGCGCCCAAUCUGCAGAUAACAGGAGAUUCCGAAACUGUGCCAAAGGUCGAAAGGAGAAGGAAAUACUUUGAUUUGAUAUUGCAUUUUUUCGUUGGAUUCGUAAAAUUGCUUAUUUACAGGCAGCAUGGACGUGAUCAAGAUUUUGUCUGGAAUUGUUCAAUUUCUCUGGCAGAAGGGACAUAUCAAACACCAGGAGCAGAAUAUCGAACAACUUAAGCUGAAAAUAAGAUUUUUAUAUUAUAUGAGAGAUGCUUUAAAAGAAGAGAUAAUGAAAGAAUUGGUUCGUGGACGGAUGCCAAGCAGAGAAUACAGAACAUGGCUACACAAGGGUGAAAAAAUCGAACAUCAAAUCAAUGACAUGCUGGAUGCUCAACUCAAGGAUUCUGUAAUUGAUGUGCAAUUCAGUGUAGAACAAUCAAAGCAGUGGGUGAGUAUGCUGGAAUAUGAGAUCGUCAAGUGCUUGGAAAGAUCUCCAUUUGAUCAUGGUCCCAGCAGUGAUCCACCACAUGAAACAAUGAGGAUGUCUACUUCAAGGAUUGAAAGAAAGAUGUAUCGCUCUAUGAAGAAGGGACAGAAGGUUAAGAGUCUUAAGACACAAGCAAGGGCUGAGAAAAAGGCUACAAGAAAAUUUAAGCUGGCAAAAUUUGGAAGUGCAGUAUCAAAAGCUAUAGCGAAGCCUUUUCCAAAGAAGGGACAGAUUUAUCUGGUCCAAAAAGUGGAGGGUAAUAAGGCAACUGCAGAAGCUUAUAUACAGGAGAUAAAAAGUGAGAUAACAGGCGUUCCAUCUUCACCAUCUAGUCUCAGUAUUGAAGAAAAAAAGACAGAUUCGAUCUCCGUCAUGAAGGGCAACACGUUAACUGCAGAAGCAGAGCCAAAGGAGGUGAUAUAUGAGACAAUGGUCGAGCCAAUUUCACCAUCUAGUGCCAGUAUAGAAGCAGCAAAGAUAGAUUUGGCCUCUAGAGAGAAAGGCAACAAGGAAACUGCAGAAGUAGAGCAGGAGGUAGAAGAUGAGAUAACGAUCGUACCAACUUCAUCUAUUUCCAGUAUGGAAGCAGCAAAGGCAGAUUUGGGCCUCAGAGCCGGGGGAAACAUGGCAGCUGCAGUGCCAGUUAGAGUAAGAGAUGUGAUAACCUCCGCAAAGCCUGAGAUGGUGCCUGCCUUGAUAAAAGAGCAUGAUAAUUUCCCUACUGCUGAUGGUGGAGAAAUCAGAAUCAAACACAUGGUGCAGAAAAUACAUGGAUUCAUUACUAACACAAAUGCCAAAAUAAUUGGUAUAUAUGGGCAAGGAGGGAUUGGUAAGACCAGUAUACUCAAAGUCUUGAUAGAUGAUCCAAAAGUCAAAGACAUGUUUCAUACCAUAAUUUGGGUGACUGUAUCAAGAUGCUGGAGCACAAAGAAGAUACAAGAUGAAGUUGUGAGAAAGUUAGAAAUUGGAGAGGCAGACUUUGGACCUGAUAGUGACAUGGCUAAGAUAUUGUUUCGAACUCUAGAAAAAAAGAAGUUCUUGCUUAUUCUCGACGAUGUUUGGGAGAAGAUUGAUUUACAUGCAGUUGGUAUUCCUUCUUCCAGUCUAGGAAAGGGUUGCAGAUUGAUAUUGGCAACAAGAUCACUUGAAGUUUGUCAUGACAUGGCAGACAAGGAGAUUGAAGUUGGGGGUCUCUCCAGUAAAGAGGCUUGGGAGUUGUUUCGGAAACAAGCAGGUCAAAUUGUUGAUUCUCCAAACAUCCAGCCUUAUGCUCGAGGCAUAGUUAACGAGUGUGGCAAAUUGCCACUAAAUAUUAUUGUUACUGCAAGGGCUUUGACAGGGGAAAAUAAUGUUUCAGUGUGGAAACAUGCAUUGAAGGACUUUCUAUUGGCUAAAACUGGAAAUUCUGACUUUGACCCUCAAAUCCAACAAAUGAAAUUCAGUUAUGAAAGGCUAAAGGUUCACGCCUCAAAGACUGAUGUACUAAUGUCUUGUGACAUACAGAGUUGCUUCCUAUACUGUGCACUACUUCCAGAAGAUUACGAGGUCAAUACAUUCAGACUAGUAGAUUACUGGAUUCGGGAGGGUUUAAUUGCUGGGAACUCAGCUGAUGCACGCAAGAAGGGACAUGAUAUAGUUAGAGUUCUCAUAGAUGCAGCCCUACUGGAAAGCACUAAAAAGAGCACUUGCAUAAAAAUGCAUGACACCAUCAGGGAUCUAGCCUCAGGGAUCUUAUCAGCAAAGGCAGAAAGUUGCCACUUUCUGGGGAGAACUUGUCCUAGACUUACACGGUUGCCAAAUUUAGGAAGUAAUUCAUUAUCACCAAUUGAAAGCAUAGAAAGAUACCAUAUGUGGAGACCUGAAGAUCACCAUGAAUACUUGUUCAUGGCUGGAGCAGGAUUAGCAGAACCUCCUCCAGAGGAAGAGUGGGAACCAGCAAAGAUGAUUUUUCUAAUGGAUAAUGAAUUGUCCAGCCUGCCUGCUAGACCAGAAUGCCCCAAUCUUUUGAUGUUGUUACUCCAAAGAAACUUCCGCCUUAGAGUUUUACCCGACUCUUUCUUUGGUUUCAUGCCUCUUCUCAAGGUGCUGAACAUGUCUAAAACCAGGAUCACUUCCUUGCCAACGUCAAUCUCGCAGCUUCCUAAUUUGGAACAACUUAACCUGAGAGAUUGUGAGCGUCUAAUGAAGCUACCUUCAGAAGUGGGAAAACUUAAACGUCUUGAGUUGCUUGAUCUCCAUGGCACUGUUCUGAAUGAAUUGACUAAAGAAAUUGGAGAACUAGAAUCUCUGAAGGACUUGGAAGUAUCUUUUUAUGGACCUGUUGACCAUAGAGAGUAUUCCAAACUGUCAUCUAAACUCAUUCCAGAUGGUACCAUAUCAAAGCUACCUUCUUUAAUUAAUCUUAGCAUUGUUGUGUUCCCAGGAGACCAUCGGUGGAACGACACAACAGAAUCUGUCAUAAAGGACGUGUGCAACCUGAAAAAUUUAACUUCCUUAAGAUUCUACUUUCCCAAGGUGCAACAACUUCAGGACUUUCUUCAAAUGAGUCACUCAUGGAAGCAUAAUCUAUUAAGGAACUUCAACUUCAUUGUUGGCUAUGACAUCAAGCGCAUGUUAUCGCGGGUUCCUUCUAAUGUGGAGUUAGAUUACAAUCAACAACAAAGGUGCCUGCGGCUUGUGAAUUACAAGAAAAUACCAGAAGAUGCCAUCGUGGAAGUACUAACUCGAACAACAGCGUUCUACCUUGAUCACCUCCUCAAGAUCCGCAGUCUAUCACAGUUUGGAGUUAAAAACAUAAUAGGAUUGGAAUUUUGCAUAGUUAGGGAAUGUCCCGAGAUUGAAUACAUCAUUGAUGGUAAAGAACUGGCAUUACCAUUUCUAGAACACCUGAGCCUCCAUUAUCUAGAGAAAUUGAAGGGGAUUUGGAAGGAACAAUUGCCAUUUGGAAGUUUCGCUAGUCUAAAAUGUUUGAGCAUUCACACAUGUUGGCAGUUGAAGUUUGUUUUCACAAGCUCUAUGAGUAGGCACUUCCCUAACUUGGAAGAGUUGGUUGUUGAAGAUUGUAAAGCCAUCACGGACAUCAUAUUUGUGGAGAACAACAUCGAGCUUAAUUAUGCUAUGCUUCCAAAGUUGAAAAAUAUGGCACUCAGAUAUUUGCCUAAUUUGGUCAGCAUUUGGAAAGGGCCCUGGCCAUCUUUGGAGCAUAUUGGCUUUUACCAUUGUCCAAAGCUGAAGAAACUAAGCAUGGGUUCUGUCUCCGAGUUCAGAUCAUCCAUCAAGAAGAUAGAAGCAGAGAAACAAUGGUGGGAUAUGUUAAAAUGGGAGGACUAUUCUUUGCGUGAUGAACUUCAGACUUGUUUCUUCCCUUUAACAGAAGAAGAAUUGUAAUGGUCAGCAAGAGCAUACAUUAUGCAAGCACUGUACAAAAAAAGAAACUUGUCUACGGUAUAUAUACAGUAUUAGAUUUCAUCUAUAUGGUGGAGUGCACUACACACCAGUGCAGGCAAAAGUUCUCGCCUAUGUAAGUAACUCAGUUGUGAUAUCUGUAACAAAACUUGUUACUUUGCUGCUUCAGUUUUAUCAAUUUAAACUUCUGUAAUUAAACCAAAGGUUACUUAAGUUUGACUUGAUCUCAGUUUGAUCAUAAAGGAUAAUUAAGAUAA
rnacentral:misc_RNA from 1 species